rnacentral:rRNA from 1 species
GACGAACGCUGGCGGCGUGCCUAAUACAUGCAAGUCGAACGCAGUGGGGACGGGUGAGUAACACGUGGGUAACCUCCCAUCAGAGGGGAUAACACUUGGAAACAGGUGCUAAACCGAUACUGAUGGAUGGACCCGCGGUGCAUUAGCUAGUUGGUGGGGUAACGGCUCACCAAGGCGACGAUGCAUAGCCGGCCGGAGAGGUGGAUCGGCCACACGGGAACGGAGACACGGCCCAGACUCCUACGGGAGGCAGCAGUAGGGAAUCUUCGGCAAUGGACGAAAGUCUGACCGAGCAACGCCGCGUGAGUGAAGAAGGUUUUCGGGUCGUAAAACUCUGUUGUUAAGGAAGCGGUAUCUAACCAGAAAGCCACGGCUAACUACGUGCCAGCAGCCGCGGUAAUUC